CAGCUUGAGGGGAAAAGAGCAGCAGGGUGCCCUAAAACCACAUGGUGAAGGACCAUUGACAAGGAAAGGAGAUAAGAAGAGUGUAAAAGCUGGAAUGAGACCAGAACAGUGACAGAUAACAGAACAAG